AGCUCUAAUAGCGUAUUUUAAAGUUGUUGCAGUUAAAACGCUCGUAGUUGGACCUUAGGGUUUGGUGGCGUCGGUCCGCUGUUAAAAGUGAGUACCGGCCCAUCGGCUCUCCUUAUGAGAUACUCCCUGUCGGGCUUAACUGCUCGGCAGGAGCAGCGGCGUCGGGUUGGCGGGCAACCGUCGGUCAGGCGUCGCCGGGUUCUCAUUCGUUUACUUUGAAUAAAUUAGAGUGUUCAAAGCAGGCACAUUAACGCCUUGAAUAAUCUAGCAUGGGAUAAUGGAAUAGGCUGUCGGCUUAUUUCGUUGGUUUCUAAGCCAGACAGAAUGAUUAAGAGGGACAGUUGGGGGUUUUCGUAUUCAAUUGUCAGAGGUGAAAUUCUUGGAUUUGUUGAAGACGAACUACUGCGAAAGCAUCAACCAAGGAUGUUUUCAUUA
rnacentral:rRNA from 1 species